rnacentral:snRNA from 1 species
ACAUUUACCUGGCAGGGGAGAUACCAUGAUCACAAAGGUGGUUUUCCCAAUUACGCUCCAGAUGUGCUGAUCCCUGCAGUUUCCCCAAAUGCGGGAAACUUGACUGCAUAAUUUUUCAUAGUGGCAGACUGUGUUCUCACCCCCUCCCA